UAACCAUAUCAAGUUGAAACACCAGUGCUCGUCUGAUCACCAAAGCUAUGCAAUGUUGAGCUUGGUCAGUACCUAGAUGGGUGACUGUUUGGGAAUAGCAGGUGCUGUAAG